rnacentral:rRNA from 1 species
GCCCUUGAUCCUCUAGACUGCCCGGCCAGCAGCCGCGCUAAUACGGAAGGUGCAAGCGUUAAUCGGAAUUACUGGGCCCCCAGCGCGCGUAGGUGGUUUGUUAAGUUGGAUGUGAAAGCCCUGGGCUCAACCUAGGAACUGCAUCCAAAACUAACUCACUAGAGCACGAUAGAGGGAGGCAGAAUUCAUAGUGUAUCGGAGUAAUGGGUAGAUAUUAUGAAAAAUACCGCCGGACAAGGAGGACUCUUGUAUCUGUACUGACACUGAGCGGCUUAAGCGCGGUUUGUAAACACCAUUAGAUACCCUGGGAAGCCCUACCCUAAACGAUGAUGAUUACUUGAUGGCAGACUCUGCUUUCUCCGGGUUAUCCUCAGGUGUUACCUUAUACGUCUGGACCGAACCGCUGGAAGAUUAAGACUAGGAUUGCGCUCGUUAUACGACUUAACGCGACGUCUCAUGAGACUAACUGACAAGCGCCAUGCAGAACCUGACCUAUUCUUUCCAAAAGUUGCACUCUCUUGAAAUGAGAGUGCGACUUUUUGCAAGAAAAAAUAAAGGUGUUUCAUGUUUGGUCCUCAUUUCCCCCCUGCUCCUGCCGCUUGUACGCGCCUCACGAAAUUCAUCUUAUGACUAUAUCUGGCGGCGAUACUCCCAGGAGGAAAAUGAAAAUGCUGGCGGUAACCCGGAAGGAAGGUGGGCUCCCACACCAUCUUGUUGUCCUUUACGAGGAGGGCUACCCGGGUGUUAAAUCGGGUUUAAAAUCAGAUUUUAAACUUUAGGGGGGGGGCAAAACCAAGAAGGUCUCUUCUCCCCCGGUUUACCUCUCCCAUUUCCCGAGUUCAACCCGGAAACCCGGAAAUUACUCACCUCUCAUCGACUUUGAAGCGCUUUUCGGGAUGGAACCCAGGCGGGGACCCGGGGUUUACUAUCUGACUCAAAGCACCUACGUGCCUUUUUACCACAGAUU